rnacentral:snRNA from 1 species
ACUGCCACCCUGUGUCACCUUGAUCAAGUCACUUUGUCUCAGUUCCCUGUGAGAGGUGAGUGACCCGUAAGCAGGAACCAGUCAUGUCCUCCAUAGGAGGUCUGUAUUGAGCAGAUUCUUUUUGGUAUUGGUUGGUGGAAUUGGAGCUUGCUCCAUCCACUCCAUGCAUUGACCUGGUAUUGCAGUGCUUCCAGGACUGGUGCAAAAAAA